AGCUCGUCAACAGUUGAUGCAGCUGGUGAACUCCUUUCAGUAACGUAUGACUUUUUCAAAUCUCUUAGUGCUAGUGUCUUAGUGGCCAGAGCCCGCUCAGCGACCAAGCAUCUCUCCUUUGCAUUCUUCAGAUCACCUUCAAGAUCCUGAAGAUUUGCCUCCCUAGCCCUUUUCCUUUUCCUGCAUUCCUCAGCAUUCAUUUUAAAAUCUGAUAUACGUUGUUCAAGAUUCUUAAUUUGAUGAUCAUAAGAGCUAC
rnacentral:misc_RNA from 1 species